UACGGGAGGCAGCAGUGGGGAAUUUUGGACAAUGGGGGCAACCCUGAUCCAGCCAUGCCGCGUGAGUGAAGAAGGCCUUCGGGUUGUAAAGCUCUUUCGGCCGGGAAGAAAUCGUGUGGGCUAAUACCUCACAUGGAUGACGGUACCGGAAUAAGAAGCACCGGCUAACUACGUGCCAGCAGCCGCGGUAAUACGUAGGGUGCGAGCGUUAAUCGGAAUUACUGGGCGUAAAGCGUGCGCAGGCGGUUUUGAAGACAGGCGGAUCCCGCACA
rnacentral:rRNA from 1 species